rnacentral:rRNA from 1 species
UACGUAGGGGGCAAGCGUUGUCCGGAAUCAUUGGGCGUAAAGCGCGCGUAGGCGGCCCGGUAAGUCCGCUGUGAAAGUCAAAGGCUCAACCCUUUGAAUGUCAGCGGAUACUGCCGGGCUAGAGUCCGGAAGAGGCGAGUGGAACUCCCUGGUGUAGCGGUGGAAUGCACAGAUAUCAGGAAGAACACCAACGGCGAAGGCAGCUCGCUGGGACGGAA